rnacentral:rRNA from 1 species
UACGGGGGGGGCAAGCGUUGUUCGGAAUUACUGGGCGUAAAGGGCUCGUAGGCGGCCAACUAAGUCGGAUGUGAAAUCCCCAGGCUUAACCUGGGAACUGCAUCCGAUACUGGAUGGCUUGAAUCCGGGAGAGGGAUGCGGAAUUCCAGGUGUAGCGGUGAAAUGCGCAGAUAUCAGGAAGAACACCCGUGGCGAAGGCGGCUCUCUGGGACGGUACUGACGCUGAGACGCGAAAGCGUGGGGAGCGAACAGG